AAGACUAUAGACCUGCGGAGUACCUGCGGAAGGAUCAUUACUGAGUGUUAAAACUCCCAAACCCUUUGUGAACACUACCAUUCGUUGCUUCGGCGGGAUCGCCCCGGCGCCUCUGUGCGCCGGAUCCAGGCGCCUGCCGGGGGCCCGAAACUCUUGUUUUGUCAGUGGUAUUUUCUCUGAGUGGCAUAAGCAAAUAAAUCAAAACUUUUAACAACGGAUCUCUAGAUCGGAAGAGCACAC
rnacentral:misc_RNA from 1 species